rnacentral:rRNA from 1 species
GAUGAACGCUGGCGGCGUGCCUAACACAUGCAAGUCGAGCGAUUCUCUUCGGAGAAGAGCGGCGGACGGGUGAGUAACGCGUGGGUAACCUGCCCUGUACACACGGAUAACAUACCGAAAGGUAUGCUAAUACGGGAUAAUAUGCUAUAGGCGCAUGGCUGAAGUAUCAAAGCUCCGGCGGUACAGGAUGGACCCGCGUCUGAUUAGCUAGUUGGUAAGGUAACGGCUUACCAAGGCGACGAUCAGUAGCCGACCUGAGAGGGUGAUCGGCCACAUUGGAACUGAGACACGGUCCAAACUCCUACGGGAGGCAGCAGUGGGGAAUAUUGCACAAUGGGCGAAAGCCUGAUGCAGCAACGCCGCGUGAGCGAUGAAGGCCUUCGGGUCGUAAAGCUCUGUCCUCAAGGAAGAUAAUGACGGUACUUGAGGAGGAAGCCCCGGCUAACUACGUGCCAGCCGCCGCAGUAA